rnacentral:rRNA from 1 species
GGGGGAUAUUGCGCAAUGGGGGCAACCCUGACGCAGCAACGCCGCGUGAAGGAUGAAGGUUUUCGGAUUGUAAACUUCUUUUAUUAAGGACGAAACUUGACGGUACUUAAUGAAUAAGCUCCGGCUAACUACGUGCCAGCAGCCGCGGUAAUACGUAGGGAGCAAGCGUUGUCCGGAUUUACUGGGUGUAAAGGGUGCGUAGGCGGCCUUGCAAGUCAGAUGUGAAAUCUAUGGGCUCAACCCAUAAACUGCAUUUGAAACUGUAGAGCUUGAGUGAAGUAGAGGCAGGCGGAAUUCCCCGUGUAGCGGUGAAAUGCGUAGAGAUGGGGAGGAACACCAGUGGCGAAGGCGGCCUGCUGGGCUUUAACUGACGCUGAGGCACGAAAGCGUGGGUAGCAAACAGGAUUAGAUACCCUGGUAGUCCACGCUGUAAACGAUGAUUACUAGGUGUGGGGGGUCUGACCCCUUCCGUGCCGGAGUUAACACAAUAAGUAAUCCACCUGGGGAGUACGGCCGCAAGGUUGAAACUCAAAGGAAUUGACGGGGGCCCGCACAAGCAGUGGAGUAUGUGGUUUAAUUCGAAGCAACGCGAAGAACCUUACCAGGUCUUGACAUCCAACUAACGAAGUAGAGAUACAUUAGGUGCCCUUCGGGGAAAGUUGAGACAGGUGGUGCAUGGUUGUCGUCAGCUCGUGUCGUGAGAUGUUGGGUUAAGUCCCGCAACGAGCGCAACCCUUGCUAUUAGUUGCUACGCAAGAGCACUCUAAUAGGACUGCCGUUGACAAAACGGAGGAAGGUGGGGACGACGUCAAAUCAUCAUGCCCCUUAUGACCUGGGCUACACACGUACUACAAUGGAUGUUAACAGAGGGAAGCAAGACAGCGAUGUGGAGCAAACCCCUAAAAACAUUCUCAGUUCAGAUUGCAGGCUGCAACCCGCCUGCAUGAAGAUGGAAUUGCUAGUAAUCGCGGAUCAGCAUGCCGCGGUGAAUACGUUCCCG